GAUUAGUGCUUGUGAAAUAGUCUGGGCUGUUCAUUUUCAUGGGAUUUAAGAGUGACUUACUGUUUGUGUCCUGAAAAUUGUUUGUUUUGCCGGAGGUCAUUUUGCACAGGAACUUAAAUUGCUGCCUUGACUCUCCUUUUGUGUAAGUUGUCCAAGUUGGGAGCUGUGUGUUCUAUAACAACCUCUUCUUGUCUGUGACAGCAGCAUUUUGAGACCUGCCCUAAUCAGAGUUUUGAGUGGCACCACUCCAAAGUGUGCUGGAACUGCCUGAUUUGGAGGGAAGAGAGCAGAGAUGGGAAAGAACAGGUACAUCCAAUUGAGGGCCUUGCAGCAGCCACCUCAGAUGAAAACCUUUCCCAAAACCAAGAGAAACAAAAAGCUUCCUCAAAGUGGAUGGAGAUGCUGCACAGGCUGCCCUGCCUGAGCAUCUCUGCCCUGCUCUGGAUUAUUUAACUGGGUUCUGCAAACACAAUUUCAAACAGCAAACAGCUAAGCAAGGGGAGCAAGACAUAACCUUUGUUUCUGCAAGACCUACCAGAAGCUGACAAUGUGGGUACGUGGGCAAUGGGGAAAACAGCUUAUGCUUUAAGCUUCAUGUGACCUCUGGAGCUGCUGGGCUUUGGAAGGUGAGAGUGAGACAAUCCUCACAAGCACUUGAUCCCUCUUGAAAUUAAGGGGCUUUCCUGGGUACACAGCUUUCCCCCUUCCCUCCCAGAAGUGUAUCUGAUUUUUGGGGGUGGAAAAAAAGAGGAUUGAUUCAAAUAAAAAUGUAUUUGUAUGAGAAAAAUUAUUUCCUUCCAUGAGUAAACACAUAGUUUGAGGCAAAUUUAUGGCUUUGGCCUGGUCAUUAAUAUCUGGUUGUCAAAAAGUAUUGGUUUGAACAAAAAUAUGUUGUAAUAAAAAUGCAUUGUUUUGAAGAAAUUUAUUGUCCCCAUGAAAACCUAUUCAAUUCAGAAAGAUAUGUUGAUUUCAAUGAAAAUCUAUUUGUUUUAAGAGACAGAGAGAAGGAAGUUGCACUCAACUGAGAACCAGGGGCUUCUCUCUGUACAGAUCUCCCUGCAGUCCCUUGGCUAUUAGGAUGGGAAAAGCUGGAAAAUCAACAACUGGGCAGCAAAGGAAACCUGUAGGUCUUUCCUCUGCUCAGUGACCAUCCUCCCAGCUGAAGAAAAGUGCCCCAGUUCCCC
rnacentral:lncRNA from 1 species